AGUGAGGACGACAAGAGGUCAUUCUCAUCGCCAUUUUGUUUUUGGUGGUUUUUGUCUGGCUUCGUUACUGCAACCAGUUUUAUCAGCAAGGUCUUUAUCACCUGUAUUUUGUGCUGACCUCCUAUCUCAUCCUGUGACUUGGAAUGCCUUAACAACUGUCUGGAACGCAGCCCAGAGUCUCACUCUGUCAUCCAGUCUGGAGUGCAAUGGUGUAAUCUCGGCUUACUGCAACAUCCACCUCCCAGGUUCAAGCUAUUCUGCCUCAGCAUCCUAAGUAGCUGGGAUUACAGAUGCAUGCCACCACGCCCAGCUUGCAUUAUGUUUUAUCAUUCUAAGUGGAUAAAAACUCCAGCUGAUCACAUACAAUAACAGAAUUAAGCUACAUGCAGAUAUUCCAGCAGAGGAUCCUGAUACCAAAAAGGAUUGCGGAGCCACAGGUUGAAAAUAGCAGAGACUCCAUGGUUCUCUUAAUGAUUGCAUGGAACAAUAACACAUGAUCCCUGUGAUGGUUAGUAGUAGUUGUCAAACUUAGAUUGGAUUGAAGGAUGCAAAGUAUUGUUUCUGGGUGUGUCCGUGAGGAUGUUGCUACAGGAGAUUAACAACUGAGUCACUGGACUGGGAGAGGCAGACCCACCCUUAAUCUGGGUGGGCAUCAUACCACUGGCUGCCAGGGAGGCUAGAAAAAGGAGGCAGAAGAAGGUUUAAUGAGCGUACUUGCUGAGUCUUCCAGCCUUCAUAUUUCUCCUAUCUUGAAUGCUCCCUGCCCCUCCAACA